ensembl:lncRNA
GGUCACUCCAGGCUGUGUGGUUUCUAGGAUGACGGUCACAUCACUGAAGUCACUAGUCUCUGUAAUAACUAAAGUUAGAGAGCUAAAGGUUGAUAUGUAGCCAAAGAGCUCCAUCUGAGCAAGACAUGACUUAUACACAAUUAGAACAAGGACAUAUUUCUGUGCAUGGAUGUUUUUCACUAGUGGAAUUAAACUGCAUGUAUAAUCACAUUUUUAAAGGACAGAAAUGUGAUGUGCCAGUUUAGAGUUGGUUUCUAUUGCAAUAUAACAUAUAAAUAUUCAGGUUUGUGGUGGUGGUGUAGUUGUAGUUGUAGUUGGUGCUGGUUUAGGUGGUGUUGUAGUUGGUGCUGGUGUAGGUAGUGUUGUAGUUGUUGCUAGUGUAGGUAGUGUUGUAGUUGUAGAUGGUCCCAGAUUAGGCAGGGUUGUAGUUGGUGCUAGUGUAGGUAGUGUUGUAGUUGUAGAUGCUGCCAAAUUAGGCAGGGUUGUAGUUGUAGUUGGUGCCAGAGUAG